rnacentral:lncRNA from 1 species
CAUGAGAUCACAGUGGUAACACCAAGGACAGAAGGGGAGAUGGGCACAGGUGCUGCGGCCCGACCCUCGGGAGAUCACGGCGGUAACACCAAGGACAGAGGGGGAGAUGGGCACAGGCGCUGCGGCCCAACCCUCAUGAGAUCACAGCGGUAACACCAAGGACAGAGGGGGAGAUGGGCACGGGCGCUGCGGCCCAACCCUCAUGAGAUCACAGCGGUAACACCAAGGACAGUGGGGGAGAUGGGCACAGGCGCUACGGCCCGAUCCUCAUGAGAAGUGGCGCAGUGUUACGUGAAGGACGACUGUGUGUGAGACUGGGUCUCGCUUGCUGGUCUCAAAUUCCUGAGCUCUAAGCGAUCCUCCCACCUUGGUCCCUCCAAGUGCUGGGAUUAUAUCGGCAUGAGCCACCACACCAGGCCAGGGAAGGCUGUUUAAAGGUGACGUUUGAACGGUGUCAGAAAAGCGAGUCACUUUCCUGUUUUUGAGCAAUGGAGAGGGUGCAAUGCAUUCUUGUUUGAGAAGAUGGCUGAUCAAGGAUGCAGAGACAUAAUUUUUAUUAACAUGGCAUCUCUGAGAGGCAGGCUGGAGACCUUCUGCUUUACAGAAAGGGACAUGGAGAACAGGAUUGCCUUACACACAAGACAUCUGGAAGCGGAAUUCAUAUCUAUUGAUACCCCAACCAAUGCAGUUCCCACGGGAUCAUCCGUAGAUACAUUCCAGGCAGUGGCCUCUCUCUGGUGACAGCACACUUCCUCCACCAGCUUGGAACCUGGCACCACCGUUUCCAGGCUGGCGUUUCUUGAACCUUCCUGUUUGCCUAGGCCGUAAUUGAGACAUCACCUUCGCUUCAUUCCUGAUCCACCCCAGGAGAAGUUUCAUCAUAGGAUCUUCACACCCUCAUUAAUCUCUCAUCUAAUGCAGAGUGACCUACCUCAUGCCCCAGCCAGCGGCUGCCCUUCCCACCUGGCCCCAAGCGGGACCCAUGGAGUCAAUUUUCUGGUGCAGAGCGAGAGGCUCCACUGACUGAAAUUGCUGGUUACCUGGUGGAAUCUGGC